UACGGGGGGGGCAAGCGUUGUUCGGAAUUAUUGGGCGUAAAGGGCUCGUAGGCGGCCAACUAAGUCGGAUGUGAAAUCCCCAGGCUUAACCUGGGAACUGCAUCCGAUACUGGAUGGCUUGAAUCCGGGAGAGGGAUGCAUAAUUCCAGGUGUAGCGGUGAAAUGCGUAGAUAUCUGGAGGAAUACCAGUGGCGAAGGCGGCAUCCUGGACCGGCAUUGACGCUGAGGAGCGAAAGCUAGGGGAGCAAACAGG
rnacentral:rRNA from 1 species